AGGAAUGCCCACCACAAAAACAUGAGGAGCGAGUCAUCAAGCACGCACACAUGCAGCUCAAAACACUUUGCUUAGCCACGCCCCCACGGGAAACAGCAGUGACAAACUUUUAGCAAUGAACGAAAGUUUAACUAAGUCACACUGACCAUUAGAGUUGGUCAAU